UGGGGAAUUUUGGACAAUGGGCGAAAGCCUGAUCCAGCAAUGCCGCGUGUGUGAAGAAGGCCUUCGGGUUGUAAAGCACUUUUGUCCGGAAAGAAAUCCUUGGCUCUAAUACAGUCGGGGGAUGACGGUACCGGAAGAAUAAGCACCGGCUAACUACGUGCCAGCAGCCGCGGUAAUACGUAGGGUGCAAGCGUUAAUCGGAAUUACUGGGCGUAAAGCGUGCGCAGGCGGUUUGCUAAGACCGAUGUGAAAUCCCCGGGCUCAACCUGGGAACUGCAUUGGUGACUGGCAGGCUAGAGUAUGGCAGAGGGGGGUAGAAUUCCACGUGUAGCAGUGAAAUGCGUAGAGAUGUGGAGGAAUACCGAUGGCGAAGGCAGCCUCCUGGGCCAAUACUGACGCUCAUGCACGAAAGCGUGGGGAGCAAACAGGAUUAGAUACCCUGGUAGUCCACGCCCUAAACGAUGUCAACUAGUUGUUGGGGAUUCAUUUCCUUAGUAACGUAGCUAACGCGUGAAGUUGACCGCCUGGGGAGUACGGUCGCAAGAUUAAAACUUAAAUGAAUUGACGGGGUCAUAGCUGUUUCCU
rnacentral:rRNA from 1 species